CUAGUCCUACGGGGCGCAGCAGUGGGGAAUAUUGGGCAAUGGGCGCAAGCCUGACCCAGCAACGCCGCGUGAAGGAAGAAGGCUUUCGGGUUGUAAACUUCUUUUAAGAGGGAAGAGCAGAAGACGGUACCUCUUGAAUAAGCCACGGCUAACUACGUGCCAGCAGCCGCGGUAAUACGUAGGUGGCAAGCGUUGUCCGGAUUUACUGGGUGUAAAGGGCGUGCAGACGGGAAGACAAGUCAGAUGUGAGAUCACGCGGCUCAACCGCGGAACUGCAUUUGAAACUGUUUGUCUUGAGUACCGGA
rnacentral:rRNA from 1 species